rnacentral:rRNA from 1 species
UAUCCUGGCUCAGAUUGAACGCUGGCGGCAGGCUUAACACAUGCAAGUCGAACGGAUUUAAGUACUUGUACUUAGAUUAGUGGCGAACGGGUGAGUAAUGCCUAGGAAUCUGCCAUUUAGUGGGGGACAACGUUUCGAAAGGAACGCUAAUACCGCAUACGCCCUACGGGGGAAAGAGGGGGACCGCAAGGCCUCUUGCUAAAUGAUGAGCCUAGGUCGGAUUAGCUAGUUGGUGGGGUAAGGGCCUACCAAGGCGACGAUCUUGUAGCGGGUCUGAGAGGAUGAUUCGCCACACUGGAAACUGAGACACGGGUCC